ensembl:lncRNA
GAGUGUGGGCGGGGACUGAGGGAAGAAGAGAAAAACUGACUGCCAGGCGACAGUUCCUCCGUUUGAAAUCUCGCCGGCUCCUGAGCGGGCCACCGGGCCCGGGCUGGGGGUCUGGCGGAGAAAUAAUUUUAUUUGGACUGACAGCUGGAGAACAAGAAUAGGACCUGAGACAGCAUAUUGGGCUAAGGAGGAGAGGUGAGGUUCCAAAACGGCAGUCAAAGCUCAUCAACCGAACGGACUCUACUUCCCAGCAACCUUGCACUUAGUGCAACCAACAGAAGGCCUGCUGGGGAAUGUAUUUGCCACUGAAUUCCCCAAGUAUGCCAACAUUACAAAAAAAGAUAGAGGUUUUUCAUCAUAAUUAAAUUUCCACAAACCUCCCCAAUCACAAGUAUUAUAAGCAGAAGUAAAAAAAAUCACAUUUUACAGAUCUCAAACUUGUCUUCAACAUUUAGUUCAUCGUCUUCAAAAAAAUAGCUCCCCUGCUAAACUCAUUAACUGUAUGAUCUAUCCAAGCAGCAAGAAGAUGGCCAGGCCAUGGCAAUCCUCUUCCCAUUUUCCCUAGCCACUCAGGGCUCAACAGCAGGGUAAGGCUCAGGUGCGGAUAGCGGGUGGGGAGCACAAGGGCUACUCUCCCCCAGUGCAGCGUGGCAUCUGAAGCUUGAUGGGGAAAGCACAACUGGUGAGACUUGAGGGAAGGGUCCAGGGCCUGUAUUUAGUCAGAGUCACUGCUGGAAGAGGAGGAGGAAUGCUUGCCAGGCUUGUGGUGCUUGUGCAUCUUUUUAUGAGCUUUCUUCAUUUUCUUCUGCCUCUUCUUGUCCACCAUCACUGCUGGUCUGACCAUGCCAGGAGCCAAGGGAUUCGCAGGAGGGAUUCCAGGGGCAGGUGGUGGGUAUGGAGGAGGGUAGGGACCCGAAGGUUGGCAUCCUGGAUACCCUGGCUGUGGCACAGGAUGAGGGGCCCCAUGUUGGGGGAAAGCUGGAUUGCCCUGGGGAGCUCCUGGGGGAGGAGGACAGGGGCUUGGGGGAAAGGGUGGGUUGGGCAGGAUUGGAACCUCCAGGGCACCUAGUGCUGAGGGGGAUAUGGAUUUGACCCUGGGUGUCCGGCGUUGGGAUUCCACAUGUUUAGGUGUGUCCUCCAGCCUUUCCACGGCCCCCUGGGCUUGAUGCGUUCUCCCAGAUCCUAACCUUUUUAAUGGCUGGGCCUUUCUGCUUGAAGAGGGCCAUUUCAUCCUUGCUGCUCUAGGAGGAACAGUGGCAGCUUUUGAGGAGGUAGGGACUGGAGAGGUCAGGACUUGUGGCUGCAGACUCCUGUUGGUCACAUCUGGUGUGGCCAACUGCUCUGCAGGUCGGGGAGGUGCUCUGAGCAGGGCUGUGUGUGGCAGCAGUUUCCCAGGCGACCUGCUUCAUUCAUUAGGCUGCAGCACGGGAGCUGCCAUGGGGAGAGUUGGUGGGAACUGGGGUCCUGAGGUAGGGGUGGGAAGAGAGGAGCAAUUCUAGAAGUGCACCGACUUGUCAGUUGAAGAAUUUGGCGCCGCCCCAUCCCUGGAGCUAGAAACCUUGGGUUCUGUCUUAGCUUGGGCUGCCAUAACACAAUACCGUAGACUAGGGGGCUCAAACAGCAGAAAUCUCUUUUCUCAUAGUUUUGGAAGCUAGAAGGCCCAUAUCAAGGUCUCUUCCGGGUUCCUGCCUUGCAGACAGCUGCCUUCUUGCUGUGUCCUCAUAUGGCAGAGACAGAGCUCUAAGCCACUAGGCAGUGGGCCCCAUCUGCCACCCUGGUUCCUGGUCCUUUCUCUCUUUCUCUCUUUUUAAUCCUAUCAGGCCAUUUAACCUUAAUGACCUCAUUUAACCUUAAUUACCUCCUAAAGAUCCAGUCACAUUGUGGAUUAGGGCUUCAAUAUGUGAAUUUUUCUUACUUUGAGAGGCUGAGGCGGGAGGAUUGCUUGCACCCAGGAGUUCAAGACCAGCCUGGGCAACAUAGUGAGACACCAUCUCUGUAAAAAAAAAAAAAAACAAAAAAAA